AUGGUCAAGUUAGAAAGAGCGUACGGUGGAUGCCUUGGCGCUUUGGGCCGAUGAAGGACGUGGUAAGCUGCGAUAAGCCACGGGGAGCCGCACACAGGCUUCGAUCCGUGGAUUUCCGAAUGGGGCAACCCGGCGAGGGCGAACUCUCGUCAUCCUGCACUGAAUUCAUAGGUGCAUGAAGGGCACCCGGGGAACUGAAACAUCUUAGUACCCGGAGGAAAAGAAAGCAAAAGCGAUCCCCCUAGUAGCGGCGAGCGAACAGGGGUCAGACUAAACCAGGAAGCGCUUGCGCUUCCUGGGGUUGCGGGAACUCUAUAACGGCUGACUAUUCUUAGGUGAAGCGGCCUGGAAAGGCUCACCAUAGAGAGUAACAGUCUUGUAACCGAAAGGGAGCAUCAGCCAGGAGUAUUCCCAAGUACCGCGGGGCACGUGGAAUCCCGUGGGAAUCUGGGAGGACCACCUCCCAAGUCUAAAUACCCAAAGCGACCGAUAGUGAACUAGUACCGUGAGGGAAAGGUGAAAAGCACCCCGGGAGGGGAAUGAAAUAGAACCUGAAACCGUAUGCUUACAAACAGUCAGAGCACUAUUGAGGAGUUUCUCCUCAAGUGUGAUGGCGUACUUUUUGUAGAACGGACCGGCGAGUUACAUUUAACGAGCGAGGUUAAGGCUGAUUAGGCCGGAGCCGCAGCGAAAGCGAGUCUUAAUAGGGCGUUUAGUUCGUUGAAGUAGACCCGAAACCGGGUGAUCUACCCAUGUCCAGAGUGAAGCGCGGUUAAAACCGCUUGGAGGCUCGAACCAACCGUCGUUGAAAAGGCGGUGGAUGAGGUGUGGGUAGGGGUGAAAUGCCAAUCGAACCCGGAAAUAGCUGGUUCUCCCCGAAAUAGCUUUAGGGCUAGCCUUGACGGAGGAUCCCGGAGGUAGAGCACUGAUUGGGCUAGGGGCCUUCACCGGUUACCAACCCCAUUCAAACUCCGAAUGCCGGAAAUCUGCUCGUCAGGAGUCAGACUGCGGGUGCAAAGAUUCGUAGUCGAAAGGGAAACAGCCCAGACCGACGGCUAAGGUCCCAAAGUUGUGCUAAGUGGUAAAGGAUGUGGGGUUGCCCCGACAACCAGGAUGUUGGCUUAGAAGCAGCCAUUCAUUUAAAGAGUGCGUAAUAGCUCACUGGUCAAGUGGUCCUGCGCCGAAAAUUAACGGGGCUCAAGCACAACACCGAAGCCACGGACUUGCAAUUUUUGCAAGUGGUAGGGGAGCGUUCUGUAUGCAGCGAAGCUAUACCGUGAGGAGUGGUGGAGCGUACAGAAGUGAGAAUGCCGGUAUUAGUAAGCGAAAAGGCAGGUGAGAAUCCUGCCCGCCGAAAGCCUAAGGUUUCCUGGGGAAGGCUCGUCCGCCCAGGGUAAGCCGGGGCCUAAGCCGAGGCUGAAGAGCGUAGGUGAUGGAUAAUCGGUUGAGAAUCCGAUGCCACCAGUAGCCGUUAUCAGGAUGGGGUGACACAGGAGGGAAGACCAUGCGCGCGGUUGGAAAAGCGCGUCCAAGCCAGUAGGGGGUGGAACAGGCAAAUCCGUUCCACAUCAAACCCCGAGAGGUGAUGGGGAGGGAAAUAAGUACUGAAGUGGUUGAAGCCCAUACUGUCAAGAAAAACCUCUUACGAGGCUCACUGGCGCCCGUACCGUAAACCGACACAGGUAGGCGAGGAGAGAAUCCUAAGGCGCGCGAGAGAACCCUCGUUAAGGAACUCGGCAAAAUUACCCCGUAACUUCGGGAGAAGGGGUGCCCCAUUAGCGUGGGAUCACUUGCUGAUUGAGCGCGAGGGGGCCGCAGAGAAGAGGCCCAAGCGACUGUUUACCAAAAACACAGGUCCCUGCUAAAUCGUAAGAUGAUGUAUAGGGGCUGACGCCUGCCCGGUGCUGGAAGGUUAAGGGGAGGGGUGAGAGCUCUGAACCGAAGCCCCAGUAAACGGCGGCCGUAACUAUAACGGUCCUAAGGUAGCGAAAUUCCUUGUCGGGUAAGUUCCGACCCGCACGAAAGGCGUAACGAUUUGGGCGCUGUCUCAACGAGGGACUCGGUGAAAUUGUAAUACCCGUGAAGAUGCGGGUUACCUGCGACAGGACAGAAAGACCCCGUGGAGCUUUACUGUAGCCUGAUAUUGGAUUUCGUUAUUUCAUGUACAGGAUAGGUGGGAAGCUUGGAAGCCAGGGCGCCAGCCUUGGUGGAGCUAACCUUGGGAUACCACCCUUGGGAUAUUGGAGUUCUAACUUGAGGCCGUUAUCCGGUCUGAGGACAGUGUCAGGUGGGCAGUUUGACUGGGGCGGUCGCCUCCCAAAAGGUAACGGAGGCGCCCAAAGGUUCCCUCAGCGUGGUUAGAAAUCACGCAUUAGAGUGUAAAGGCAUAAGGGAGCUUGACAGCGAGACACACAGGUCGAGCUGGGACGAAAGUCGGGCUUAGUGAUCCGGCGGUUGCGAGUGGAAGUGCCGUCGCUCAACGGAUAAAAGCUACCCCGGGGAUAACAGGCUUAUCUCCCCCAAGAGUUCACAUCGACGGGGAGGUUUGGCACCUCGAUGUCGGCUCAUCGCAUCCUGGGGCUGGAGUAGGUCCCAAGGGUUGGGCUGUUCGCCCAUUAAAGCGGUACGUGAGCUGGGUUCAGAACGUCGUGAGACAGUUCGGUCCCUAUCCGUCGCAGGCGCAGGAAACUUGAGAGGAUCUGUCCCUAGUACGAGAGGACCGGGAUGGACAGACCUCUGGCGUACCAGUUGUUCCGCCAGGAGCAGCGCUGGGUACCUAUGUCUGGAGAGGAUAAGCGCUGAAAGCAUCUAAGCGCGAAACCCACCUCAAGAUAAGGUUUCCCACCCAUUUGAAGGGUGAGAUGUGAGAGGUAAAUAAUCUCACACCUCCUACAUCUCACCUUUCGGUGGGGUAAGACCCCUGGUAGACUACCAGGUAGAUAGGCCAGAAGUGUAAGCCGGGUGACCGGUUAAGCGGACUGGUACUAAUAGGUCGAGGACUUGACCUU
rnacentral:rRNA from 1 species